AUUGAACGCUGGCGGCAUGCUUUACACAUGCAAGUCGAACGGUAACAGGUCUUCGGAUGCUGACGAGUGGCGAACGGGUGAGUAAUGCAUCGGAACGUGCCCAGUCGUGGGGGAUAACGCAGCGAAAGCUGUGCUAAUACCGCAUACGAUCUAUGGAUGAAAGCGGGGGAUCGCAAGACCUCGCGCGAUUGGAGCGGCCGAUGUCAGAUUAGCUAGUUGGUGGGGUAAAGGCCCACCAAGGCGACGAUCUGUAGCUGGUCUGAGAGGACGACCAGCCACACUGGGACUGAGACACGGCCCAGACUCCUACGGGAGGCAGCAGUGGGGAAUUUUGGACAAUGGGCGCAAGCCUGAUCCAGCAAUGCCGCGUGCAGGAAGAAGGCCUUCGGGUUGUAACUAGCUUUUGUACGGUAACGAAAAGGUACUGGGUUAAUACCUGGCUCAUGACGGUACCGUAAGAAUAAGCACGGCGUAACUACGUGCCAG
rnacentral:rRNA from 1 species